rnacentral:rRNA from 1 species
CCCUUAGACGUUCUGGGCCGCACGCGCGCUACACUGACAAAGGCAACGAGCUACUCUUCACCGAAAGGUGUGGGUAAUCUUUUGAAACUUUGUCGUGCUGGGGAUAGAUCCUUGCAAUUUUUGAUCUUAAACGAGGAAUUCCUAGUAAGCGCAAGUCAUCAACUUGCGUUGAUUACGUCCCUGCCCUUUGUACACACCGCCCGUCGCUACUACCGAUUGAAUGGUUUAGUGAGGCCUUCGGAUCCGCGACUUGUUUGUGGAGAAGUUGGACAAACUCAGUCAUUUAGAGGAAGUAAAAGUCGUAACA